CAGGUUAGUGAACACGCCCUGCAGAUCAUCCACGCGGUUCUUUGCCUUGUCCUUGAAGAGCUGGUGCGAUGCAGACUUGCCCGCACCGCUCUUCGAACCCUUUCCCAUUCCAAUCAAAGCAGAAGAAACAAACCCCUCAGUCUUUCACCUGCAGAAAACGCAGUCUUGCCCGCACCGCUCUUCGAACCCUUUCCCAUUCCAAUCAAAGCAGAAGAAACAAACCCCUCAAUCUUUCACCUGCAGAAAACCAACAAAAAAAAAGACAUCUUUAGCAUAAUAACCAUCGUUAUAUGUUCUAUUCCACCAUCAAGCACAACACAUAAGCUAAGCAUAACCAACAGGAGAACAUUAGGGAUUUUCGAGUUACAAAAGCAAUAAAUA
rnacentral:lncRNA from 1 species